UCUGGGUAUUGUUGUUUGUCUUUGCUUUUUGUUCUGCCAUUUGUUCUACUUCUUACGACGAUUGUUUUGCUGAAUUUGUGGUCUUGUUGUUGUGUUUUUUGGCUUGCACUUUGCUGUUUGUGCCCUUUAGGGUGUAAGGGAUAUGCCGAUCGACAUGGGUUUGGUAUCUAGGCCUCAGCUUAGUAAUUUUCGAUGUUUUAUUUUUAAUUAUCAAGAAAUCUUU
rnacentral:misc_RNA from 1 species